UAAAGAAAUUUUUAAUUUUUACUUUUAAUUUGAUAAAAAUAUAACUUUUCUUUUUUUAAAAAAUAGUACUGUAAAGGAAAAUUUUUAAUAAUAAAAAAGUAAUUAACUUACCUUUUGUAUCAGGGUAAUUCUAUAAAAAAUUAAAAUUAAUAACUCUCGAAAAAAAUUAAUCUAAUAUAAUUUAAACUUUUUUAUUGAAUAAAAAAAAAUAAAAUUAUAUUUUUAGUUAAAUUCAUAUAAAAAUUUUAUAUCUAGUUAAAAAAUGAUUAUUUUAGAUAAGUUUAUAAAUUUUAAUUUAUAAUAUAAUUAAUUUAUAAAUACAGUAAUAAGAGAUAAGUUUUAUUACUUUAAUAUAAAAAUUCAAUAAAUGAAAAAAAAGAUUUAAAAUUGAUUAACUCUUGUUAUAAAAACUUUUAUUUAUUCUUAUAAUUUUAUUUAUCAAAAUAAUUUAUUAAAUAAAAUUUAAAUUAAAUAAUGAUUUAAUUAGUAUAAUUUAAUAAUUUUUAUUAUAAAUUCGGCAAAUCAUAUAUUCAACUGUUUAACAAAAACAUUUUUUUUUGAUUUUAUAAAAAAUAUGUUCUGCUCAAUGCUAUAAAGUAAAUUGCUGUGGUAACCUAACUACACAAAGGUAUUGAAAUAAGACUUUAAAUGAGUGCUAAGAGAAUGGAAAAAUGAUUAUAUACUUUAUUAUAAAAACAUUCUAAAAUUUAUAUUAAAUAUAAAAAUAUAUUUAUAUUAUUAUUAGACAAGAAGACCCUAUGAAUCUUUAAUUAUUAAAAAAAAUAAUAAUUUUAAUUGGGGCGAUUAAAAAAUAAUAAAUAACUUUAUUAAUAAAGUUUCUUAAAAAUUUUUAAAAAGAUACUCUAGGGAUAACAGCGUUAUUAUUUUGGAUAGUCCAUAUUGAUAAAAUAGUUUGCGACCUCGAUGUUGAAUUAAUGUACCUAAAUAAAGUAGAAUUUAUUUAAGGCAGAUUGCUCAUCUGUUAAAUCAUUACAAGAUUUGAGUUCAGACCGACGUAAGUCAGGUUGGUUUCUAUCUAUAAUAUAAUUUAUUAUUACUUAGUACGAAAGGAAUUGUAAUAUUUUUUACAAAUAAUAGUAUAUACCCUAUUACAUAGAUUUUGGAGAUCUAAAAAAAUAAGAAAUUUUAUUUGU
rnacentral:rRNA from 1 species